UACAUGUGGGGCAAGCGUUGUUCGGAUUUACUGGGCGUAAAGGGCGCGUAGGCGGCGUGGUAAGUCACUUGUGAAAUCUCUGAGCUUAACUCAGAACGGCCAAGUGAUACUGCUGUGCUAGAGUGCAGAAGGGGCAAUCGGAAUUCUUGGUGUAGCGGUGAAAUGCGUAGAUAUCAAGAGGAACACCUGAGGUGAAGACGGGUUGCUGGGCUGACACUGACGCUGAUGCGCGAAAGCUAGGGGAGCAAACGGG
rnacentral:rRNA from 1 species